GGCCAAGCUGCCCUAUCGAGGGAUACGCGGACAGUCUGUAAAACUGUCGUGGCGGCAACGCCACCGUGGGUUCAAAUCCCACAGCCUCCA
rnacentral:tRNA from 1 species